UGAUCUGAGGAAAGAAGCCUUGGGUGUC
rnacentral:piRNA from 1 species